GACAACAGACAUCAUCCCGGACGAAUAC
rnacentral:sRNA from 1 species